AGAACUUAGCAGAGAUGCUUUGGUGCCUUCGGGAACUCUGAGACAGGUGCUGCAUGGCUGUCGUCAGCUCGUGUUGUGAAAUGUUGGGUUAAGUCCCGCAACGAGCGCAACCCUUAUCCUUUGUUGCCAGCGGUUAGGCCGGGAACUCAAAGGAGACUGCCAGUGAUAACUGGAGGAAGGUGGGGAUGACGUCAAGUCAUCAUGGCCCUUACGAGUAGGGCUACACACGUGCUACAAUGGCGCAUACAAAGAGAAGCGACCUCGCGAGAGCAAGCGGACCUCAUAAAGUGCGUCGUAGUCCGGAUUGGAGUCUGCAACUCGACUCCAUGAAGUCGGAAUCGCUAGUAAUCGUGGAUCAGAAUGCCACGGUGAAUACGUUCCCGGGCCUUGUACACACCGCCCGUCACACCAUGGGAGUGGGUUGCAAAAGAAGUAGGUAGCUUAACCUUCGGGAGGGCGCUUACCACUUUGUGAUUCAUGACUGGGGUGAAGUCGUAACAAGGUAGGCGUAGUGCU
rnacentral:rRNA from 1 species